rnacentral:lncRNA from 13 species
UGAUAGAUAUCGCCUCAAAUCACAUCACGUGUCAUAGAUUUAGAAUCAGUAUCAUUAUAUUUUUAAUUAUUUAUUUUUUAUUUAACCUUUAUUUAUCCAGGAAGUGCUCAUUGAGAUUUGAAAUCUAUUUUUCAAGCGUGUCCUGGCCAAGAUGGGCAGCACCAAGUCAUUACACGAUUACAGACAGACAACAUGAAAAACUACAGGUAAUCUAGUGAAAAGAACAUACGAUUCUGAUAGACUACACCUCAAAUUACAUUUUAUAGAUUUAGAUUAGUAUCAUGAUAUUAUUAUGAUAGACUACUUUUUAUAACCAACUAUAUUAAUACAGAGAGGUUCCUUUACAUAUCUGCACCGUGGACUGGGACAUAACCAACUAUAUUAAUACAGAGGUUCCUUUACAUAUCUGCACCGUGGACUGGAACAUAACCAACUAUAUUAAUACAGAGGUUCCUUUACAUAUCUGCACCGUGGACUGGAACAUAACCAACUAUAUUAAUACAGAGGUUCCUUUACAUAUCUGCACCGUGGACUGGAACAUAACCAACUAUAUUAAUACAGAGGUUCCUUUACAUAUCUGCACCGUGGACUGGAACAUAACCAACUAUAUUAAUACAGAGGUUCCUUUACAUAUCUGCACCGUGGACUGGAACAUAACCAACUAUAUUAAUACAGAGAGAGAGGUUCCUUUACAUAUCUGCACCGUGGACUGGAACAUAACCAACUAUAUUAAUACAGAGGUUCCUUUACNNNNNNNNNNNNNNNNNNNNNNNNNNNNNNNNNNNNNNNNNNNNNNNNNNNNNNNNNNNNNNNNNNNNNNNNNNNNNNNNNNNNNNNNNNNNNNNNNNNNUAACUACACACAUCUACAACUACACACAGCUACAACUACACACAUCUACAUCUACACACAUCUACACACAUCUACAACUACACAAAUCUAAAACUAUGACACACAACAUUGUGAUUGAUGCUGCCUGCCUGUGAGACAUCUUUAAUGAAAGGUGUGGCAUGUCGCUGAGACUGCAGCUGCGUCCCAAACGACACCCUAGUCUCUAUCAGGGCUCUGAGCAGAAGUAGUGCCCUCGGGAAUAUGGUGCCAUUGGUAUGCAGGCGGAGACUGAGAGGUCAGAGAAAUGGCUUUGACAUUUGAAACAUCCGUUGGAUCAGGGUUAGUCUUUGACAGCCUGGUAAUGGGUGUCGACCUGCUCACUGAAAUGCCCUGAAACAUCCGUUGGAUCAGGGUUAGUCUUUGACAGCCUGGUAAUGGGUGUCGACCUGCUCACUGAAAUGCCCUGAAACAUCCGUUGAGCUGAAAUGCUUCUUCCGUGAUAGUAGCAGCAGCUACAUUUUUACUUUUUACUAGAAAGACAAUUCUACUUUAUGCCAAAGAUAAAUUGUGUUAUUCCGGCACAGGUUUUUAUAAAUUCACAAAUAGCGAUUAAGUAUUCACAUACUUUUUGAAAAUGUUCUUCUGUUUUGACAUCCAAACGGUCCCAGCUAUAUAACAUGUAGUGUUGUUUUGUUAGAUAAAAUCCUUCUUUAUAUCCCCCAAAAAAUAUGUUUAGUUGGCGGCAUCGGUUUGAGUAAUCCACUCGUUCAACAUGCCGAGAUAGGAAUCCGAAAAUCUAAUCUUUGUUUCAACAAGUCAAAAUAUGUUUCUAUUUAUUAAUCCUCAGAUCCUCCAACAUGUAAUCAAUCUAUCAUUUAGAUUGAUACGGAAAAUAGGUAUGUUCAAUAGGAAACCGAUAUUAGCAGGUUGUCUUCAUGACGCACGCACACACGCAUUUCCAAGACUGUGUACUAAAACUCAUUAUUCUUCCUCGUUUUGGAAGAAACAAGCCUCAAACCUUGAACUUUGAGUGCUGACACCCAGUGGAAGCCAUAGGAAUUGCAUACUGGGUGAUUUAAUUAUUUCUUAAUUAUUUCUUAUUUCUUAUUUGUUUUUCUUAUUUCUUAUUAUUUCCCUAUACGUUACAUUGUAAGAACAUGGGCUCUCAACAAAACAAAAAAAUCGGGUUGUUUUUUCUUUGGAUUUUCUCCUACCAUAUCUAUUGUGUUAUAUUCUCCUACGUUAUUUUAACAUUUCUACAAACUUCAUAGUCUGACUGGCUUACUGACUCGCUGACUGACUAGCUGACUGUCUGUCUGACUGGCUUACUGACUAGCUGACUAACUAGCUGACUGUCUGUCUGACUAGCAGACUGUCUGGCUGACUGGCUUACUGACUCUCUGACUGACUAGCUGACUGUCUGUCUGACUGGCUUACUGACUAGCUGACUAACCAGCUGACUGUCUGUCUGACUAGCUGACUGUCUGUCUGACUAGCUGACUGUCUGGCUGACUGGCUUACUGACUAGCCGACUAACUAGCUGACUGUCUGUCUGACUAGCUGACAGGCUGACUGACUAGCUGACUGUCUGGCUGGCUGGCUUACUGACUAGACGACUAACUAGCUGACUGUCUGUCUGACUAGCUGACUGUCUGACUGGCUGACUGAUUAGCUGACUGUCUGGCUGACAGGUGCUAUACGUGUGUUUAGGUGUGACUAUGAACUCAUGUUGAAACCCUCUUGACGGGAGUCAUAUUGUUAGACUUUACAGAUAGAGCUCCUAGCUGACACGUUAUGGGCUUGGAGUAUCCUGAAAGCUUCCUACGUUCAUCUGUUGUUCAUUACCUGUGGUCGGGACAAGGUUACCUUUACUAAUGUGCAGAUGUUGGUCAAUUCCCCCGUUUGCCAGGUCGCAGUUGUAAAUGAGAACUUGUUCUCAACUGGCCUACUUGGUUAAAUAAAGGUGAAAUGAAAAAAUAAAAUAAAAAGUUUGACUCGUUGACCUUGGUGUUUCACUAUAGCUCCACAUUGCAUGAGUACUACGACAUGGUCAUACACGACAUGACCAACAGUAACAGCCUCCACUCUUCUGGGAAGGCUUUCCACUAGAUGUUGGAACAUUGCUGCUAUAACAGCCUCCACUCUUCUGGGAAGGCUUUCCACAAGAUGUUGGAACAUUGCUGCAUGGACUUGCUUCCAUUCAGCCAGAAAAGCAUUAGUGAGGUCGGGCACUGAUGUUGGGCGAUUAGGCCUGGCUCGCAGUCUGCAUUCUAAUUCAUCCCAAAAAUGUUCGAUGGGAUUGCGAUUAGGGUUCUGUGCAGGCCAGUCAAGUUCUUCCACACCGAUCUCAACAAACCAUUUCUGUAUGGACCUCACUUUGUGCACUGGGGGCAUUGUCAUGCUGAAACAGGAAAGGGCCUUCCCCAAACUGUUGCCACAAAGUUGGAAGCACAGAAUCGUCUAGAAUGGUAUUGUAUGCUGUAGUGUUAAGAUUUCCCUUCACUGGAACUAAGGAGCCUGAACCAUGAAAAACAGCCCCUGACCAUUAUUCAUCCUCCACCAAACUUUACCGUUGGCACUAUGCAUUCGAGCAUCUAGCGUUCUCCUGCCAUCCGCCAAACCCAGAUUUGUCCAUCAGACUGCCAGAUGGUGAAGUGUGAUUCAUCACUCCAGAGAACGUGUUUCCACUGCUCCAAAGUCAAAUGGUGGUGAGCUUUACACCACUCCAGACGGCGCUUGGCAUUGCGCAUGGUGAUCUUAGGCUUGUGUGCGGCUGCUCGGCCAUGGAAACUCAUUUCAUGAAGCUCCCAACGAACAGUUGUGGUGCUGAUGUUGCUUCCAGAGGCAGUUUGGUACUCAGUAGUGAGUGUUGCAACCGAGGACAGAUGAUUUUCAGCACUCGGUGGUC